UACGUAGGGGGCAAGCGUUGUCCGGAUUUAUUGGGCGUAAAGAGCGUGUAGGCGGCCAAACAGGUCAGCUGUGAAAACUCGAGGCUCAACCUCGAGACGCCGGUUGAAACCAUCUGGCUAGAGUCCGGAAGAGGAGAGUGGAAUUCCUGGUGUAGCGGUGAAAUGCGCAGAUAUCAGGAAGAACACCCGUGGCUAAGGCGGCUCUCUAGUACGGUACUGACGCUGAGACGCGAAAGCGUGGGGAGCGAACAGG
rnacentral:rRNA from 1 species